CACCGCCACCGCUACUCCCUCCAUCACGCGCCGCCGUCGCUCCCCGCGCCACCGCCACGUCGCGGCACGCAGCUGCUCCCCGCACCGGCCGCUGACCCCGUGCCGCCGCUAGCCGCUAAGAUCCGAGGGAGGGAGAGGGAAUUGCCGGGGGAGGAGAGGGGGAGGGAUCUGGCCGGGGGAGGAGAGGGAGAGCCAGGUGAGCGAGUGGGAGAGCGAGGUAGAGAGGGCAAAGGGGAUUGAGCGGAUGGGGGAGGAAAGGGAGAGGAUAAGGAUAGAGAGAGGGGGGCCGGGGGUGGCCGGUUGAGGGAGGCGCGUGUGAGGGUGUGGUCUCGGGACUUAACUUAUUUGGAUCAUUUUUUCAGGUCCGCUUCCUCUAUCAUCGCCAGUUGGUGUUAAAAUUCGGCACCCCAACCGACGGUGAUAUGAAUGUAUCACUGCCGGUUUAUUGCUAAAAUCGUUAUCGAUGUUAUUUUUUCCUACCACUCGACUAUUACAGCUGGUUUUAUUUAAUAGGCCGGCAGUGAUGAUACAUUCUGUAGCAGAUACAUUCUGUAGCAGGCGUGUCACUAGCUGACCUGAUUUAGUAUUGCGAGCUGUGGCUUCC
rnacentral:lncRNA from 1 species